UACGUAGGGGGCAAGCGUUGUCCGGAAUCACUGGGCGUAAAGCGUGCGUAGGCGGUCGAAUAAGUCUGGAGUGAAAGUCCAUGGCUCAACCAUGGGAAUGCUUUGGAAACUGUUUGACUUGAGUGCUGGAGAGGCAAGGGGAAUUCCACGUGUAGCGGUGAAAUGCGUAGAUAUGUGGAGGAAUACCAGUGGCGAAGGCGCCUUGCUGGACAGAAACUGACGCUGAGGCACGAAAGCGUGGGGAG
rnacentral:rRNA from 1 species